UGCCAGCCGCCGCGGUAAUACGGAGGGGGCAAGCGUUGUUCGGAAUUACUGGGCGUAAAGGGCGUGUAGGCGGCGGUUUUAGUCAGGCGUGAAAGCCCGAGGCUCAACCUCGGAAUAGCGCUUGAUACUGCCAAGCUAGCGUAAAGUUGAGGUGGGUGGAAUUCUACAUGUAGCGGUGAAAUGCAUAGAUAUGUAGAGGAAUGCCGAUAGCGAAAGCAACUCACUAAGCUUUUACGGACGCUGAGGUACGAAAGCGUGGGGAGCGAACAGGAUUAGAUA
rnacentral:rRNA from 1 species